rnacentral:rRNA from 1 species
AGGGAAUCUUCCGCAAUGGGCGAAAGCCUGACGGAGCAACGCCGCGUGAGUGAAGAAGGAUUUCGGUUCGUAAAGCUCUGUUGUUAGGGAAGAAUGAUUGUGUAGUAACUAUACACAGUAGAGACGGUACCUAACCAGAAAGCCACGGCUAACUACGUGCCAGCAGCCGCGGUAAUACGUAGGUGGCAAGCGUUGUCCGGAAUUAUUGGGCGUAAAGCGCGCGCAGGUGGUUUAAUAAGUCUGAUGUGAAAGCCCACGGCUCAACCGUGGAGGGUCAUUGGAAACUGCUAAACUUGAGUGCAGGAGAGAAAAGUGGAAUUCCUAGUGUAGCGGUGAAAUGCGUAGAGAUUAGGAGGAACACCAGUGGCGAAGGCGGCUUUUUGGCCUGUAACUGACACUGAGGCGCGAAAGCGUGGGGAGCAAACAGGAUUAGAUACCCUGGUAGUCCACGCCGUAAACGAUGAGUGCUAAGUGUUGGUCUCAUAAGAGAUCAGUGCUGCAGCUAACGCAUUAAGCACUCCGCCUGGGGAGUACGACCGCAAGGUUG